rnacentral:rRNA from 1 species
AGUGAACGCUGGCGGUAGGCCUAACACAUGCAAGUCGAACGGCAGCACAGUAAGAGCUUGCUCUUACGGGUGGCGAGUGGCGGACGGGUGAGGAAUACAUCGGAAUCUACUUUUUCGUGGGGGAUAACGUAGGGAAACUUACGCUAAUACCGCAUACGACCUACGGGUGAAAGCAGUGGAUCUUCGGACCUUGCGCGAUUGAAUGAGCCGAUGUCGGAUUAGCUAGUUGGCGGGGUAAAGGCCCACCAAGGCGACGAUCCGUAGCUGGUCUGAGAGGAUGAUCAGCCACACUGGAACUGAGACACGGUCCAGACUCCUACGGGAGGCAGCAGUGGGGAAUAUUGGACAAUGGGCGCAAGCCUGAUCCAGCAAUACCGCGUGGGUGAAGAAGGCCUUCGGGUUGUAAAGCCCUUUUGUUGGGAAAGAAAAGCAGCAGGUCAAUACCCCGAUGUUCUGACGGUACCCAAAGAAUAAGCACCGGCUAACUUCGUG